rnacentral:pre_miRNA from 1 species
CAUUGUGUCAAAUUAUUCAAGCAAUUUACAGCAAUGCUAGAUCGGCGUUGUACAUUGCUUGAGUAACUUGAACACUAUG